GGAGAGCGUUGGGCAGUUUGUGUUUAAUUGUGACUGUUGAAUAAUUUUUUUGUGCUUGUGAAGCCAUACUCUGUCCCUGUUAUGAAAGGAGGUGUAAGAGGCCAGCUCUUGCCAUUCUGUUUUUUGUUUUUGCAUUUGGUGGUGGUAACAAGCAUGUUCUGGAAGCCCAGAGUUAUAGUACUUAUUACCAGCCUGCAUCAAACACACUUAAUUUAGCUUGUAUACUUGCUUCUCCGAAGGCUUCUAACUUUCAUCUGGUGAGCAAACAAUCUUUGAGUCUCUCAGAUUUAUAGAUAUAUAAAUAAUAUUUUUAUCAGCUCUGCACUAUCUAUAUUGGUUAAUAUAAAACUGAGUUUACGUUAAUAAAUAUAACUUAAAUGGUUUACAUUUUGUGAUCUUGUGCAGUGAUAAGUCAAUAUUGGUUAUUUGUAAAUGUUGCUUUAAAGCAUUCUCCAUGUAGUAUUUUCAGUAUAGAUUUUUUUGUUUCCUUAUCGUUUUCAUAAAAGUCUAAAUCUAAAAUUCUGUUCAUUGUUUCAUCACGUGUUUUAUAUAGUUGUAAAAAAAAAUUCUGAUACAAUAUAUGUCUAUUGCGUGUGCACAUAAAUCCCUAUAUGCGUGUGCAUGUAAUUAUCAAGAUCUGUGUCUUCGUUAUACUGGAAUUCCAUACAUUUACAUGCAUUUUAUUAAUUCCAGCUUGAGGCAUUAUUGUGAUGUAAAAUGAAAGCAUCCACAUACCCUUAAAUCUUACCAUCCGAUUAACUCCUCCCCCCGCCUGAAAAAAUAAAAACAUUAAAAUAAAAACAGGUUUAUGUGUAUACUUUAUUCACUUAUCUUCCAAUAUGUUCCAAGUAGGAUAUUUCUUGGUUUCAUUAACACAUUCAUUGCUAAAUAAUCCCUAUAGCAUCUUGCCAC